UGACAGACGAGAGUGAGCACACAUGGUACUUUCUUGGAUGAUAAUGUUUCAUGCUUGAAAUUAUGUGUGCUCACUCUCUAUCUGUCACCAACUCUAUUUCUAUCACUUUGUUUUUCACUUUUACUAUAUAUAUAUAUCUACAUAUUUUGUUUCUUUCUUUUAUCACUUUCCCUUCCAUAUGCUACAAGUAACCCUAGCUAGCAACUUAGACUCUUGCAGUCAUAUCACAUUCCGUACCACAGGGUUUUGGAGGAUACUCGGCUAAGAAGAAAAAUUGAUAUCAGCAAUGAACUUCUAGAUUUUGCAGUGGAGGUGUUAGGUCAUGGUUUAGGUUUACUCAUCUCUCUUUCUUUCUAAUGGUGUAUUAUUAGAAUGUAUUUAUUUGGUUUGUUAGAAGGAUGUUGGAGUAGCUUUUAUAUUCUUAUGAAUCAAUUUAGCUUUUAAAAUAAAUUCAGUCACAUUCCCUGACCUUCAUGGAAGUAGUUAAUCUCUAUACCAACGAGCUACUUUAGUUAAUUCAAUCAAUCUUCCAUCACGGAACUUAAUUUUAAAAUUAAUGAAGUAUAUUGAUUAACUGUCUCCUUAUUAGAUACUAUAGUACUUUAGCUUAAGGUACACAUAUUUUCAACCCCUGAUAUUUGUUUCACUAAAAUAUUAAGUUUUCAUAUAUCACUUUCAGGUUGCAAAAAGUCUUGUUGAAAUGGAGUACCGUCAAAUGAAUCAUCCAGCAAAAGCUUCAAUGGCGUGGGAAAUUAAAAACAAAUAUAUGUGUUUUUGUAUAUAUUUAUGGUUGAAAAAAAGGAAGAGCUCUGGGAAAGGGAGUUGUUGUGGUGGUUAAUUAUCUUGUUAUAUGCCAACAUGAUGAAUGUAUGUGUAUAUUUAAUUUUUACAGAAACGAGUGAUGACAUGGAUAAUAAGGAUUUAUACACAACCAUGUAAUACUUUGAUCAA